AUUGAACGCUGGCGGCGUGCCUAAUACAUGCAAGUCGAACGAGUGGCGCACGGGUGAGAAAUGUCUGGGAAACUGCCCGAUGGAGGGGGAUCACUACUGGACACGGUAGCAAAUACCGCAUACUAUCGGAUGUGCCCAGAUGGGAUUAGCUAGUAGGUGGGGUAACGGCUCACCUAGGCGACGAUCCCUAGCUGGUCUGAGAGGAUGACCAGCCACACUGGAACUGAGACACGGUCCAGACUCCUACGGGAGGCAGCAGUGGGGAAUAUUGCACAAUGGGCGCAAGCCUGAUGCAGCCAUGCCGCGUGUAUGAAGAAGGCCUUCGGGUUGUAAAGUACUUUCAGCGAGGAGGCGUUACUCGCAGAAGAAGCACCGGCUAACUCCGUGCCAGCAGCCGCGGUAAUAC
rnacentral:rRNA from 1 species